rnacentral:rRNA from 2 species
GAGUUUGAUCCUGGCUCAGAUUGAACGCUGGCGGCAGGCCUAACACAUGCAAGUCGAGCGGAUGACGGGAGCUUGCUCCUUGAUUCAGCGGCGGACGGGUGAGUAAUGCCUGGGAAUCUGCCUGGUAGUGGGGGACAACGUUUCGAAAGGAACGCUAAUACCGCAUACGUCCUACGGGAGAAAGCAGGGGACCUUCGGGCCUUGCGCUAUCAGAUGAGCCUAGGUCGGAUUAGCUAGUUGGUGGGGUAAUGGCUCACCAAGGCGACGAUCCGUAACUGGUCUGAGAGGAUGAUCAGUCACACUGGAACUGAGACACGGUCCAGACUCCUACGGGAGGCAGCAGUGGGGAAUAUUGGACAAUGGGCGAAAGCCUGAUCCAGCCAUGCCGCGUGUGUGAAGAAGGUCUUCGGAUUGUAAAGCACUUUAAGUUGGGAGGAAGGGCAGUAAGUUAAUACCUUGCUGUUUUGACGUUACCGACAGAAUAAGCACCGGCUAACUCUGUGCCAGCCGCCGACCG